rnacentral:rRNA from 1 species
UACGUAGGUGGCAAGCGUUGUCCGGAUUUACUGGGCGUAAAGAGCGCGCAGGCGGUCGUUCAAGUCGCGUGUGAAAGCCCCCGGCUCAACUGGGGAGGGUCACGCGAUACUGAUCGACUGGAAGGCAGGAGAGGGUAGUGGAAUUCCCGGUGUAGCGGUGAAAUGCGCAGAUAUCAGGAGGAACACCGAUGGCGAAGGCAGCUCGCUGGGACGGUACUGACGCUGAGGCGCGAAAGCGUGGGGAGCAAACAGG